rnacentral:rRNA from 1 species
CGUAGGGUGCGAGCGUUAAUCGGAAUUACUGGGGCGUAAAGCGUGCGCAGGCGGUUUUGUAAGACAGGCGUGAAAAUCCCCGAGCUCAACUUGGGAAUGGCGCUUGUGACUGCAAGGCUAGAGUAUGUCAGAGGGGGGUAGGAAUUCCACGUGUAGCAGUGAAAUGCGUAGAGAUGUGGAGGAAUACCGAUGGCGAAGGCAGCCCCUGGGACGUCACUGACGCUCAUGCACGAAAGCGUGGGGAGCAAACAGGAUU